rnacentral:misc_RNA from 1 species
ACCUUCCUCUAUCCUAGUGCUGUUGAUCAAUUCAAGAAGCAAUUUGCUCACCUAGAGGAAAAUGGUGGUAAAAUUACUCCAGUAAAUCCAUUAGAGAGGAAGCAUGGUUCUCUACCGAGAUCGACGACAGUCCAUUCAAUGCCGACUCCUACCAAGGAACAACCCAGUUUGGUAGAUACCAGAGAGAGGCAAGCUUCCGAAGAGUCUUACAAGUACCCUAGAGAUACUGAAAGACUGUACGGA